rnacentral:rRNA from 1 species
AUGGCCGACGCUAAAUCCCAAGGCCGAGCAGCGACUACCGCUCUCAGUUCCACUCCCACUCCCACAUGGGCGGAACGGACCGAGGCCCUAACGCACAUCCUGACCCACCCCUCCCACUCGCCGUCGCUCCACUCGCAGCUCUUCCUCGCGUCCCGCGUCCCGUGCCCACCUCGGGGCUCCUCCUACCCGCCCUUCCUCUGCCCCGGCGCGUCGCUCCUGCGGUGGGCACUCACCUCCGUCUUCCUGCCCCGCGCGGCCCGCCUUGGCCUGCCGCCUUCGUCCUGGCGCUCCCGGUGCCCCUUUCAGCUCCCGCCGCCGCUCGUGCCCUCCGCCGGCAUCGAGACGGCACCGGAGCGGUGGAGCGAGGCCGAGCUCCGGGGGUACGCGCAGCGGCGGCGGGCUCGGAGGGGGCCCAUGAGGACGCGGCCGCCGGUGUCCAUGGCGGGGGUGGUGCUGACGACCGUGCCCAACAUCGUGAUCAUCGUGGUCAUCAUGCGGGAGCUCUUCUGGGUCCGGCCUGGCCGUUUCUGA